CACGUAGGCACCAAGCGUUGUCCGGAUUUAUUGGGCGUAAAGAGCUCGUAGGCGGUUCAGUAAGUCGGAUGUGAAAGCCCCCGGGCUCAACCCGGGAAGUGCACUCGAUACUGCCGAGCUAGAGUAUCGGGAGAGGUUGGUGGAAUUCUCGGUGUAGAGGUGAAAUUCGUAGAUAUCGAGAGGAACACCGGUGGCGAAGGCGGCCAACUGGACGAAUACUGACGCUGAGACUCGAAAGCGUGGGGAGCAAACAGG
rnacentral:rRNA from 1 species